rnacentral:rRNA from 1 species
UUGGAGGGCAAGUCUGGUGCCAGCAGCCGCGGUAAUUCCAGCUCCAAUAGCGUAUAUUAAAGUUGUUGCAGUUAAAAAGCUCGUAGUUGAAUUUCGGGAUCAGUACGUUGGUCGUGCCUUAGGUACGUACUGGUGUUACUGGUCCCUACCUUCUGACGAACCAUCAUGUCAUUAAUUUGGUGUGGCGGGGAAUCAGGACUGUUACUUUGAAAAAAUUAGAGUGUUUAAGGCAGGCUCGCGCUUGAAUACAUUAGCAUGGAAUAAUGAAAUAGGACGUUGAUCCUAUUUUGUUGGUUUCUAGGAUUGACGUAAUGAUUAAUAGGGAUAGUUGGGGGCAUUAGUAUUCAAUUGUCAGAGGUGAAAUUCUUGGAUUUAUUGAAGACUAACUACUGCGAAAGCAUUUGCCAAGGAUGUUUUCAUUAAUCAAGAACGAAAGUUAGGGGAUCGAAGACGAUCAGAUACCGUCGUAGUCUUAWCCAUAAACUAUGCCGACUAGGGAUCGGAUGAUGUUAAUUUUUUAAUGACUCAUUCGGCGCCUUACGGGAAAC